rnacentral:misc_RNA from 1 species
GAUGAAGAACGCAGCGAAAUGCGAUACUUGGUGUGAAUUGCAGAAUCCCGUGAACCAUCGAGUCUUUGAACGCAAGUUGCGCCCGAAGCCAUUAGGCCGAGGGCACGCCUGCCCGGGCGUCACACGUCGUUGCCCCCCCAUCUACUCCUUCGGGAUUGCGGGGGGCGGAUGAUGGCCUCCCGUGCGCCUCGCCGCGCGGUUGGCAUAAAUGCCAAGUCCUCGGCGACGCACGCCACGACAAUCGGUGGUUGCGAAACCUCGGUUGCCCGUCGUGUGCGGUCGUCGCGCAUCGAGGGCUCGAAAAAAUUGCCGGGUUCCGGCUCGGCUUUCAACGCGACCCCAGGUCAGGCGGGGUUACCCGCUGAAUUUAAGCAUAUCAAUAAGCGGAGGA